ACAUCCUCAUUAAGCUGAAUGUAAGAAUGAUUCAACAUAGGCAAAUUAAUCAAUGUGUUACAUCUCAUCAACAGAAUGAAGGACAAAAUAAAUGAUCAUUUCAAUUAUUGCUGAAAAAGCAUUUUAUAAAAUUCAAAUAUC